CACCAUAGCAACACCCACAUGUAGGCACAUGCUCCAGCAGGUAUAUCUCACUGGUCACCAUAGCAACACCAACACGUAGGCACAUGCUCCAGCAGGUAUAUCUCACUGGUCACCAUAGCAACACCAACACGUAGGCACAUGCUCCAGCAGGUAUAUCUCACUGGUCACCAUAGCAACACCCACACGUAGGCACAUGCUCCAGCAGGUAUAUCUCACUGGUCACCAUAGCAACACCCACACGUAGGCACAUGCUCCAGCAGGUAUAUCUCACUGGUCACCAUAGCAACACCCACACGUAGGCACAUGCUCCAGCAGGUAUAUCUCACUGGUCACCAUAGCAACACCCACACGUAGGCACAUGCUCCAGCAGGUAUAUCUCACUGGUCACCAUAACAACACCCACACGUAGGCACAUGCUCCAGCAGGUAUAUCUCACUGGUCACCAUAACAACACCCACGCGUAGGCACAUGCUCCAGCAGCUAUAUCUCACUGGUCACCAUAAUAUAAAUAAUAAUAAUAAUAAUAAUAAUAUAUGCCAUUUAGCAGACGCUUUUAUCCAAAGCGACUUACAGUCAUGUGUGCAUACAUUCUACGUAUGGGUGGUCCCGAAUCGAACCCACUACCCUGGCGUUACAAGCGCCAUGCUCUACCAACUGAGCUACAGAAUGUCCAUAACAACACCCACACGUGGGCACGCGCUCCAGCAGGUAUAUUCACUGGUCAUCCCCA